CUGGAGAGGCCCACCUUCAGCCAGCCAACAUAGAAGAAGAACUGCAGGAACGUGAAGACGGGCACAACGAGGUCCAGCUCAUGGCCAGGCUUCCUCAUCUAUCAAAAGGGAACCAGGACCUCACAGACUUGGAGAAGAGGGAGGGGCCUCUGAGAAGGGACCACCUCGGGCUGUGGAUUGCUGUUGGAAAAGAUUCUGCAACCCCACCUCAGGCUCUCGGAAGACCCUCAGGGGCCCAAGGCUUCUCUUUGUAGGAAACCUUGUUUCCUGUGGACCACAGCCCUUCCCACUCUGCGGCAGCCCUGUCUGUACAGUGGGCUCACGUUCAGCAGGCUCUGGAGCAGGAUAGGGUCCCGGAUUCGACCUCCAAGCCACGCCUUCAUUGACAGGUUGGCAAACCACACCCAGGGCACCCAGAACAUGUUGUGUGGUAGGCUCAGUUUCUCCAACUGCUUGUGUUCUGCCGGAGUCAUAAAGCCUGCAGAGUGGAGUGAAGAAGGCGGUGGGUGGGAGAACCUGCAGAAGGGAUGGCCGGCACCUGCUGACCUAUAGGAACCUCAGCACUCCUUUGCCAUCCUCUUUCUUUCAACAACAAAAAAAUUUCUGAGCACCUACUAGGUGCUGUUCUGGGCUGAGCAUGUGGGCAGGGUAUUUAUUUAUUUCCAGAGAAAGGGUCUGGCUCUGUCACCGAGGUUGGAGUGCAGCGGUGCGAUCUUAGCGCACUGCAGCCUGGAACUGCUGGGCUCAAGUGAUCCUCCUGCCUCAGCCUCCCGAUACUCAGCCUCAGACUGCAGGCACACGCCACCAUGCCCUGCUAAUUUUUAAUGUUUUUGUAGAGAUGGGGGUCUCGCUAUGUUGCUCAGGGGCGUCUCAAACAGCUGGGCUCAAGCGAUCUUCCCACCUUUGCCUCCUAAAGCACUGGGAUUACAGGCGACAGCCACCACGCCUAGCCUGGGUCUGUCUUAUUAACCAGGACCAGGUCAGGCCAGGCUGAGGGGGUGUCAGAGACCAAUGUCCCAUACCUCCAGAGUGGAAACCGGAGAUCAAGAGGGGCAAGGGCAGAGGGAAGUAGACCCUAGUACCUCACCAGUUCCCAAGCCGUCACCCUUCUUUCCAUUAUCCCUCAAGGGUCCUUAGCCCUGCCUCAGACUCCUACUCUCGGAGGGUGGGCUCCUGGCCUCGCCCCACCUUCAGACACCCGACUCUGUCCCGCCCAAUUGGACCCCCAAAUCUUGACUACACCCCACUCCUGGCUCCACCCAAUCCCCCGAGUCCGGGGGACUUUGGCUCCACCCAUCUUCCAUUCCUGCCGCGCCCAUCUCGGCCCCUGGCUCUGCCCGGUGCCUCCCCGUUGCUCCCGGUCCGCCCACCUGCUUGCACCAGGUGCUGGGCGCUGGGGAAGCGCUUGUAGACUGCGGUGCUGACGCUGCGCAGGAUGAGCACGUUGCCCAGGUUGGCGUAGCGGAUGAGCGUGCGCCGCAGCAGCCGGCCUUGCUCGUCCUUGCCUUCGACGAAGCCCGACACCAGGCUCAUGAGGCGGUCGGGCCACGGCAGUCCGCACCUUUCCCUACAGAGAGGCGCCGACCUGCCGCUG
rnacentral:lncRNA from 10 species